UUGACAGCCAAAUUGACUGAAAUCCUCAACUAAAAUACGUGUUUUCUUUGAAGUUGACAGUUUAAAAUCAAUAUGUAAAAUGAUAGAAAACACAACAAUUACAUUACCACCUAUGAUUGCCACAAUCAAAGAGUUGAAUUUAAUGGAAUAACCACAUUAAAUAUGGUUCGCUGAUUAAAAUGUAAUGAACUUAAAAAAACGCAUUAUAAAAUUAUUAUCAAAAUGUAAUGUGCAUUCGCCGUAAAAAAAGAUACCCGACCACUCAGACAAAAAGUACAAAGACUCAGACAACAAAGAAAACAAAGAGGCAAGGCUGCUGUGUACGAUGUAUACGAAAGAUUUGUGGAUUCUUUUGCAGAAGAAUAAAAAGACGUAUAAAGAAAAAAAUAAUUAAUGUAGUAACUCCUGAUUUUGAUCAGUACGAUAUAACUGGAAUAGACAUUGACGUAUUGAAAACUAAAUAUUCUCCAAAUAUUGAUUCAAUGUAUAUAGAAAACUUCAAGGAAACUGUUAAAUCUACUUUAGGCCGCUUAGAUGUGGAUGACAUAAAACAAAAGUUUGUAGAUAAUUUGGAUCGGUUUUCUCUAAAGAAACUAGCGUCUGUUGUAACGCUUUUUAAGAAUAAAAAGAAAUUUUCAAAAAUAAAUAUGUCUUUAAAGGAUUUAGAUUUGAUCGACGGGCUGGAAUUUGAAGAUUUAAAAAAAAAGUUUUCUAUCAAAGGAUCCAAAGAAAAGCUUUUGGAAAAAUUAAUUCACGAUUACAAAAAAGGGGAUCUUUCCGCAGCAGGGUCAAUGUCAAAUAAAUCUAAAUAUAAUGAGUUAAAGAAGUUGGAUAAGGAACAAUUACAUAAAAUGUUGGAAACUUAUGCGGAGAAGAGUAAAAAUAAUAGACUAUCUAUAGCAGAAGCUAUUAUUGGCAAUUUGAAGACAAAUACCUCUUUAAGUUCAUUGAAAAGAGGGUUGUUUGAUAAGGUUUUAGAAAGUUUUAAAAAAGGAGAUUUAUCAAAGUCAGCUACAUCUAAAAUAUGCAAACUGGACGUAAAAAAACUCAGUAAAAAAGAAAUAAGUAUCAUAAUAAAGAAGUUUCAAGAGCAGGAGAAGAAAAAAAGAAGAGUUACAUUUGCAAGACCCUCUAAGCUUGAAGAGUUUAAAAGUGCCGUUGGCAGUUACUUCGGAAAAGCAUAUUAGAAUAUUAACUGAUGGAUCAUGGCUGUUGUCUGCUAUAUUUAGUUAAGCAAGUUAAUAUUGUAACGUUAUUGAAUAUUAGGCACCGUUAUCAAAUAAAAUGUUGCCCGUAUCAAUUAAAGAUGCAUAUUUUUGUACCUUUUACAGCCAGCUUUGGUAACUACCAAUUACAAUAAGCUUACUAAACCUUUGUCUGCAGGUAUAGCGUUUGAUUAUUCUUCGCACGUACCAUCGAAACCCUCUUUUCGGAUCUUCAAGAAAAAAUCACAAGAGUAUGAAUAUGGUGUAAUCAAUAAUACUAAUGUUACAUCACGGAAAGAAUUAAAUAAAAGCGUUGUUAAAUUAAGUAAAUACAGCAUAGAUGCCAAGUCUCUGUCGAAAAGCGAUAUAGAUUCUACGUCUCUGCCAUAUAGUGAAAUAAGUUCGAAAACGAGCCUGAGUAAAAAAAUGACGAAUCUUUGGAAAGACGUAUAUAGUCGAGCGGCGGUUACAAGUAAAAAAAAAUAUUGCUCAGAAAUUUAAAUUUGAAGAAACAGAUAUUAAAAAAUAUGUAUUUAAAGCAAUGCUUGGGAAUUCACCGAGCUCAUCUGAAACCAGUAAAGCUGGUUAUAGUGGUACGGAGCGAUACAGUGAUAUGUCUAGGAAUACAUCUGGCAAAAGUUUUAUAAGUAGUAAAUUCAAACGAAAAUUAAGACGUCAGCUAUGGGAAUGGGCAAAAAGUGUUAUUAAAGCGCAUAAAGAGUGGUCAGAUCUUUUAGAUGAAAAUGAUAUAGAAAUAGACAAUGUAAACAUAGACGAAGUUGAUCUUAGCCUGAUUAAUGUGGAAGAGUUAGGUAUUGAAAACAAAAUAUUAAAACGGACGAUCAUAUGGUUGCUGAAAUGAUGAAAUAAAAUUGAAAAAAACAUUGUCAAGAUAUUGAAAAUCAAAUACAAAGUUCUCCGACUGUUCGACAUGAGUAUUUACAACAGAAUGUUCCAGAUCA
rnacentral:misc_RNA from 1 species